rnacentral:rRNA from 1 species
CAUAGAUUAAGUUAUUAAGGGCGCACGGUGGAUGCCUUGGCACUAGAAGCCGAAGAAGGACGUUACUAACGACGAUAUGCUUUGGGGAGCUGUAAGUAAGCGUUGAUCCAGAGAUUUCCGAAUGGGGAAACCCAACAUGAGUUAUGUCAUGUUAUCGAUAUGUGAAUACAUAGCAUAUCAGAAGGCAGACCCGGAGAACUGAAACAUCUUAGUACCCGGAGGAAGAGAAAGAAAAAUCGAUUCCCUGAGUAGCGGCGAGCGAAACGGGAAGAGCCCAAACCAACAAGCUUGCUUGUUGGGGUUGUAGGACACUCUAUACGGAGUUACAAAAGUAUAUAUUAGACGAAUCAUCUGGAAAGUUGAAUCAAAGAAGGUAAUAAUCCUGUAGUCGAAAAUAUAUACUCUCUUGAGUGGAUCCUGAGUACGACGGAGCACGUGAAAUUCCGUCGGAAUCUGGGAGGACCAUCUCCUAAGGCUAAAUACUCUCUAGUGACCGAUAGUGAACCAGUACCGUGAGGGAAAGGUGAAAAGUACCCCGGAAGGGGAGUGAAAGAGAACUUGAAACCGUGUGCUUACAAGUAGUCAGAGCCCGUUAAUGGGUGAUGGCGUGCCUUUUGUAGAAUGAACCGGCGAGUUACGAUUUGAUGCAAGGUUAAGCAGUGAAUGUGGAGCCGUAGCGAAAGCGAGUCUGAAUAGGGCGUUGAGUAUUUGGUCGUAGACCCGAAACCAGGUGAUCUACCCUUGGUCAGGUUGAAGUUCAGGUAACACUGAAUGGAGGACCGAACCGACUUACGUUGAAAAGUGAGCGGAUGAACUGAGGGUAGCGGAGAAAUUCCAAUCGAACCUGGAGAUAGCUGGUUCUCUCCGAAAUAGCUUUAGGGCUAGCCUCAAGUGAUGAUUAUUGGAGGUAGAGCACUGUUUGGACGAGGGGCCCUUCUCGGGUUACCGAAUUCAGACAAACUCCGAAUGCCAAUCAAUUUAACUUGGGAGUCAGAACAUGGGUGAUAAGGUCCGUGUUCGAAAGGGAAACAGCCCAGACCACCAGCUAAGGUCCCAAAAUAUAUGUUAAGUGGAAAAGGAUGUGGCGUUGCCCAGACAACUAGGAUGUUGGCUUAGAAGCAGCCAUCAUUUAAAGAGUGCGUAAUAGCUCACUAGUCGAGUGACACUGCGCCGAAAAUGUACCGGGGCUAAACAUAUUACCGAAGCUGUGGAUUGUCCGUAGGACAAUGGUAGGAGAGCGUUCUAAGGGCGUUGAAGCAUGAUCGCAAGGACAUGUGGAGCGCUUAGAAGUGAGAAUGCCGGUGUGAGUAGCGAAAGACGGGUGAGAAUCCCGUCCACCGAUUGACUAAGGUUUCCAGAGGAAGGCUCGUCCGCUCUGGGUUAGUCGGGUCCUAAGCUGAGGCCGACAGGCGUAGGCGAUGGAUAACAGGUUGAUAUUCCUGUACCACCUAGUAUCGUUUUAAUCGAUGGGGGGACGCAGUAGGAUAGGCGAAGCGUGCUAUUGGAUUGCACGUCCAAGCAGUAAGA